GUGGAUAGAGGCGCGGUUUUAAUCAGUAUGGUUGUCCUGGCCUGCCAAGGCUGUAAAAUGAUAAUCGGAAAGGUAACGCCGCCGAAGGCGCCCGUUUGGCAUACGGCCCUGGUUGACGCAGUGAACAACCCGUCAACUGUCAUCAUUUAGUAUGAUGGAGAGCUAUCC
rnacentral:ncRNA from 1 species